rnacentral:rRNA from 1 species
AUGGAUCUUGAGUUCGGGAGGGGCAUGAGAUCCCCGCAGAGGGACUCAUGGAAGACCACCAUGCUGCUGGCAUACCAGAGCCUCGGGGUGGUGUACGGGGACCUCAGCAUCUCCCCUCUCUACGUCUUCAAGAGCACCUUCGCCGAGGACAUCCAGCACUCGGACACCAACGAGGAGAUCUUCGGCGUCCUCUCCUUCGUCUUCUGGACGCUCACCCUCAUCCCUCUCAUCAAGUACGUCUCCAUUGUCCUCCGAGCCCACGACAAUGGCGAGGGAGGGACGUUCGCCCUCUACUCGCUGAUUUGCCGGCACGCCAAUGUGAGCCUCCUGCCCAACAGGCAGAUUGCGGACGAGGAGCUCUCCACCUACAAGCUGGAGCGCAACGCUGAGACCGUGGACAAGACCAGCGUCAAGGUGUGGCUGGAGAAGCACAAGAACCUGCACACCGCCCUCCUCAUCAUGGUUCUCAUUGGCACCUGCAUGGUCAUUGGGGACGGUGUCCUCACGCCGGCUAUAUCUGUGUUCUCAGCUGUGUCAGGCCUUGAGUUCUCCUUGUCCAAAGAUCACCAUGAAUAUGCCGUCAUUCCAAUAACAUGCGUCAUAUUAGCAUUUCUGUUUGCCCUCCAGCAUUUUGGUACACAUCGAGUUGGAUUUAUCUUUGCCCCGAUAGUUCUAGCCUGGCUACUCUGCAUGAGUGCUCUUGGCCUUUACAAUAUCAUACAUUGGAAUCCUCAUGUCUAUCAAGCUCUGAAUCCCUAUUACAUGUUCAAGUUCCUAAAGAAGACUAGGAAAUAUGGCUGGAUGUCACUCGGUGGAAUUUUGCUCUGCAUGACAGGAUCUGAAGCAAUGUUCGCCGAUCUUGGACACUUCUCAUACAGCGCAAUCCAGCUUGCUUUCACUUCUUUGGUUUACCCCGCGUUGAUUCUGGCAUACAUGGGUCAGGCAGCUUACUUAUCAAAACAUCAUGACUUUUACUCAAACUCUCAAGUUGGAUUUUACAUCGCGGUUCCAGAUAAGGUGAGAUGGCCUGUUCUUGUACUGGCUAUUCUGGCUUCAGUUGUUGGAAGCCAAGCAAUCAUCAGCGGAACAUUCUCAAUAAUCAAUCAGAGUCAGUCCCUAAGCUGCUUCCCUCGGGUAAAAGUUGUGCACACGUCUGAGAAAAUUCAUGGGCAGAUAUACAUCCCUGAGAUCAACUGGCUACUCAUGAUCCUCUGCAUUGCCGUGACUGUUGGAUUCAGAGACACUAAGCACAUGGGAAACGCAUCCGGACUAGCAGUGAUCACUGUGAUGCUGGUUACCACAUUCCUGACAUCCCUUGUGAUCAUGGUGUGCUGGCACAAGCCACCCCUGCUGGCCCUGGGCUUCCUCCUCUUCUUCGGCUCCGUGUAG